GGACAGGUGGCCGAGUGGCUUAAGGCGCACGCUUGGAAAGCGUGUGAGCGUGAGAGCGUUCCGAGGGUUCGAAUCCCUCUCUGUCCGCCA
rnacentral:tRNA from 1 species